ACUGUCUAUAGAAUCAUUUUUUGACGAUAAGUUGAGUUAUUUUUAUUUAAAUAGGCAGGAUAUUCAGUGCCUAACUUCUUCGGUUCAGUCCUAGAUGCAUGUUUCAUUAUCUCUAUAACUCUACAUUGUUUUGUAAUAUUAAGGUGUCAUUCCUUCUUUGUUGCUCCAAGUGUGUUUUCUGUCUCUCAUGUUUCUUCUUGUCACCAGCUGUGUGACACAAUUUAACUUUGUUUACUUGGCUCGUUAAAGAAAGCAAUAAGGUUUCUUCUUCAUUGUGUUGAGUUGAGAACUUGAGAAUGGUCCUUUAGUUUACAUUUGUUUUGGCUUUUUUUUUUCCGAUGAAUAAAAGAAGGUUACCAACAAAAAUCCCUAGCACAGCCACAACCCAGCUGUUCAAGGAGAAAAUCAACAGUACGAGCUUCCUUUGCAGCUUGUUUUGGCUUUUGAUUUGAAUGGGAAAUGGAGUUUUGCUUUCAACUUGUUUUCAAACUCUUUCAAGCUGAUGUGGGACCUGUAUACAUGAAAGGAACAGUAGAAGCAUGCAUGUAAAUUGAGGCUUCCAGGCUCUUCUUGUACAUAAUUAUGACAAAUGGUCUGCCAUGCGGCAGCAAAUCCGGGUUUCAGAAAUAAAAGCUGAAAGCUCCAAACCAGAGAAAGAAGCUGGGUUUUUAUA